rnacentral:rRNA from 1 species
GCUGUCGUCAGCUCGUGUCGUGAGAUGUUGGGUUAAGUCCCGCAACGAGCGCAACCCUUAUGACUAGUUGCCAGCAUUUAGUUGGGCACUCUAGUAAGACUGCCGGUGACAAACCGGAGGAAGGUGGGGAUGACGUCAAAUCAUCAUGCCCCUUAUGACCUGGGCUACACACGUGCUACAAUGGAUGGUACAACGAGUUGCGAGACCGCGAGGUCAAGCUAAUCUCUUAAAGCCAUUCUCAGUUCGGACUGUAGGCUGCAACUCGCCUACAUGAAGUCGGAAUCGCUAGUAAUCG